GAGUCAAUUCAUAUGAUUCUUAUCUUAUCGAACAUAAAUAAUUAAAUACUAGGCACCAAAUACAUAUUGAUAUAUACGUCAGAUAUUAUUAAAGCUAAAUAGCAAUCAUUUAAGAUGCCGCUGAAUCAUCCCAAUUUCUUUAUCUCAUCUUGAAGAUCCAACGAAUCUGUGCACGCGUAAUUUUGAUUUUGGAAAAAUGAAUAUGCAAACUAAACCCGAC
rnacentral:lncRNA from 1 species